AUACCUUCAAAGCCUAAGGAGAAGUGAGAAAAGAAGGUCAUCAAAAUGGCUUCGGGAAGAGUUUGUUUGUUCAUCAGCGUUCUUUGCCUCAUCUCUCUUUGCUUCGCAGAAACAUCAGUUGCGAGAGAGAUCGACGAUGAUGGAGUCAGGUUUCUGGACAUAGGGCCGUGUUCAAAGUUCCCGGACUGCAACAAGGCUUGCAUCGAACAGUUGGGGCUUAGCACGAAAGGGUUUUGCCAGAUAAAUGCAGCCGGACUCAAGCGUUGUUAUUGUGUAGUUUAGAUAAAAGUACAUGACUUUGAGCCAUGUCAAAGUGUUUGUUAUCAUGGUAUUGAUUAUUAUGAAUAAACUUUCAUCUU